UACGUAGGGUGCAAGCGUUGUCCGGAAUCACUGGGCGUAAAGGGCGCGUAGGUGGCACGGGUAGUCGUCGGUGAAAGCUCAGGGCUCAACCCUGAGUCGGCCGGUGAUACUCCCGAGCUCGAGUGUGGUAGAGGCCAAUGGAAUUCCGGGUGUAGCGGUGGAAUGCGUAGAGAUCCGGAAGAACACCGGUGGCGAAGGCGGUUGGCUGGGCCACAACUGACACUGAUGCGCGACAGCGUGGGGAGCAAACAGG
rnacentral:rRNA from 1 species